GACGAACGCUGGCGGCGUGCUUAACACAUGCAAGUCGAACGGAAAGGCCCUGCUUUUGUGGGGUGCUCGAGUGGCGAACGGGUGAGUAACACGUGAGUAACCUGCCCUUGACUUUGGGAUAACUUCAGGAAACUGGGGCUAAUACCGGAUAGGAGCUCCUGCUGCAUGGUGGGGGUUGGACCGUUUCGGCGGUUGGGGACGGACUCGCGGCUUAUCAGCUUGCUGGUGGGGUAGUGGCUUACCAAGGCUUUGACGGGUAGCCGGCCUGAGAGGGUGACCGGCCACAUUGGGACUGAGAUACGGCCCAGACUCCUACGGGAGGCAGCAGUGGGGAAUAUUGCACAAUGGGCGGAAGCCUGAUGCAGCAACGCCGCGUGCGGGAUGACGGCCUUCGGGUUGUAAACCGCUUUCGCCUGUGACGAAGCGUGAGUGACGGUAAUGGGUAAAGAAGCACCGGCUAACUACGUG
rnacentral:rRNA from 1 species